GACGAGCGCUGGCGGCGCGCCUAACACAUGCAAGUCGAACGAGCGAGAGAGAGCUUGCUUUCUUGAGCGAGUGGCGAACGGGUGAGUAACGCGUGAGGAACCUGCCUCAAAGAGGGGGACAACAGUUGGAAACGACUGCUAAUACCGCAUAAGCCCACGACCCGGCAUCGGGUUGAGGGAAAAGGAGCAAUCCGCUUUGAGAUGGCCUCGCGUCCGAUUAGCUAGUUGGUGAGGUAACGGCCCACCAAGGCGACGAUCGGUAGCCGGACUGAGAGGUUGAACGGCCACAUUGGGACUGAGACACGGCCCAGACUCCUACGGGAGGCAGCAGUGGGGAAUAUUGCACAAUGGGGGAAACCCUGAUGCAGCGACGCCGCGUGGAGGAAGAAGGUCUUCGGAUUGUAAACUCCUGUUGUGGAGGAAGAUAAUGACGGUACUCAACAAGGAAGUGACGGCUAACUACGUG
rnacentral:rRNA from 1 species